rnacentral:rRNA from 1 species
AUGCUUAACACAUGCAAGUCGAACGGUAACAGGCCAUCGUGAUCUCUUCGGAGUGAACUAGGCGCUGACGAGUGGCGGACGGGUGAGUAAUACUUAGGAAUCUGCCCUGUAGUGGGGGACAACUCGAGGAAACUCGAGCUAAUACCGCAUACGCCCUAAGGGGGAAAGCGGGGGAUCAUUAGACCUCGCGCUAUUGGAUGAGCCUAAGUCGGAUUAGUUUGUUGGUAGGGUAAUAGCCUACCAAGGCUACGAUCCGUAGCUGGUCUGAGAGGACGAUCAGCCACACUGGGACUGAGACACGGCCCAGACUCCUACGGGAGGCAGCAGUGGGGAAUAUUGGACAAUGGGCGAAAGCCUGAUCCAGCAAUGCCGCGUGUGUGAAGAAGGCCUGAGGGUUGUAAAGCACUUUCAGUAGUGAAGAAAAACUUAGAGUUAAUACCUUUAAGUCGUGACGUUAACUACAGAAGAAGCACCGGCUAACUCCGUGCCAGCAGCCGCGGUAAUACGGAGGGUGCGAGCGUUAAUCGGAAUUACUGGGCGUAAAGCGCGCGUAGGCGGUUUUGUAAGUCGGAUGUGAAAGCCCAGGGCUUAACCUUGGAAUUGCAUUCGAUACUGCAUCACUAGAGUAUGGUAGAGGGAAGUGGAAUUUCCGGUGUAGCGGUGAAAUGCGUAGAGAUCGGAAGGAACACCAGUGG